rnacentral:lncRNA from 1 species
AGGGUUAGUUUUAAGAGCAAGGGGCCUUUACUAAAAUGGCGAAGGCCUUCCGUCGGCGUUGUUUUAAAAUGGGAAGCCUCGACCCAGUAUUGAGACAGCUGUUCGAAGGCGGCGUUGUGUGCAAUUCGGAUUAAUGAAGGGGAAGGGUUUUGUGUGGAAAAACACCUUGGAGUGUGACAUUUCUGCGAGAAUGCUUAAAUACCGAUUUCCCGCAGGAACAAUGGCGCUGUCUUCAGUGGCACAGCGGAGCAGUUCUGUGAAGAUGCAAAGAUACACGAAAAAAAUUCCAGAACAUCUGGGAGAAUAUUUAAUGGAAAAUCGCUUGGUUAAAACCUGACACUUAACAGGUAUGUGUUGUUUUAGUACUUUAUGAUUGAGCAUAGCAUUUAAUCCACACCUAGACUAAACCGAAUUUUUUUUGUCAUUGAACAGCAUUCUGAGUGUGGACGAGUAGCCAGUGAAGAUAAUGAAUGUCGGAUGUCACUGACUAGCAGCUUCAUUUUGAAUGAGGGUCGCUGUCUGCCCAUUGAUAGAGGCCAGAUUGUCUUGGAAGUUCCAAAGUUGCAACGAUUUCUGGCUAGUGCCACGAGGUUUACUUGACUGUUGUGUGAAAAGCUGAUAAGAAAACCAUCCAGAAAACAGCUCUUCGUUUUACAAACAUGAAAAUAAAACAUGUAAUUUUGG